rnacentral:rRNA from 1 species
UUUAUUGGAGAGUUUGAUCCUGGCUCAGGACGAACGCUGGCGGCGUGCCUAAUACAUGCAAGUCGAGCGGACCUGUAUGGAGCUUGCUCCAGACAGGUUAGCGGCGGA